CCUACGGGUGGCAGCAGUGGGGAAUCUUGGGCAAUGGGCGCAAGCCUGACCCAGCAACGCCGCGUGAAGGAAGAAGGCUUUCGGGUUGUAAACUUCUUUUCUCAGGGACGAAGCAAGUGACGGUACCUGAGGAAUAAGCCACGGCUAACUACGUACCAGCAGACGCGGUAAUACGUAGGUGGCAAGCGUUAUCCGGAUUUACUGGGUGUAAAGGGCGUGUAGGCGGGACUGCAAGUCAGAGGUGAAAACCACUGGCUCAACCAGUGGCCUGUCUUUGAAACUGUAGGUCUUGAGUACUGGAGAGGCAGACGGAAUUCCUGGUGUAGCGGUGAAAUGCGUAGAUAUUAGGAGGAACACCAGUGGCGAAGGCGGUCUGCUGGACAGCAACUGACGCUGAGGCGCGAAAGCGUGGGGAGCAAACAGGAUUAGAUACCCGAGUAGUC
rnacentral:rRNA from 1 species